rnacentral:rRNA from 1 species
CCUACGAGAGGCAGCAGUGGGGAAUAUUGCACAAUGGGGGAAACCCUGAUGCAGCAACGCCGCGUGAGUGAUGACGGCCUUCGGGUUGUAAAGCUCUGUCUUCAGGGACGAUAAUGACGUUACCUGAGGAGGAAGCCACGGCUAACUACGUGACAGCAGCCGCGGUAAUACGUAGGUGGCGAGCGUUGUCCGGAUUUACUGUGCGGAAAGGGAGCGUAGGCGGACUUUUAAGUGAGAUGUGAAAUACUCGGGCUAAAAGUGAGUGCUGCAUUUCAAACUGGAAGUCUAGAGUGCAGGAGAGGAGAAUGGAAUUCCUAGUGUAGCGGUGAAAUGCGGAGAGAUUAGGAAGAACACCAGUGGCGAAGGCGAUUCUCUGGACUGUAACUGACGCUGAGGCUCGAAAGCGUGGGGAGCAAACAGGAUUAGAUACCCCAGUAGUC